rnacentral:rRNA from 1 species
UACAGAGGUCUCAAGCGUUGUUCGGAUUCAUUGGGCGUAAAGGGUGCGUAGGUGGCGCCGUAAGUCGGAUGUGAAAUUUCGGAGCUUAACUCCGAAACUGCAUUCGAUACUGGCGUGCUUGAGGACUGGAGAGGAGACUGGAAUUCAUGGUGUAGCAGUGAAAUGCGUAGAGAUCAUGAGGAAGACCAGUGGCGAAGGCGGGUCUCUGGACAGUUCCUGACACUGAGACACGAAGGCCAGGGGAGCAAACGGG